rnacentral:rRNA from 1 species
CCUACGGGAGGCAGCAGUAGGGAAUUUUGCGCAAUGGGCGAAAGCCUGACGCAGCAACGCCGCGUGAUCGAGACGCCCUUCGGGGUGUAAAGAUCUGUCAGUGGGGACGAAACUUGACGGUACCCACAGAGGAAGCACCGGCUAACUCCGUGCCAGCCGCCGCGGUCAUACGGGGGGUGCAAGCGUUGUCCGGAAUCAUUGGGCGUAAGGAGUUCGUAGGCGGCACGUAAAGUCUGGUGUUAAAGGCAGGGGCUCAACUUCUGUACGGCACUGGAUACUUGCGAGCUAGAAUGCGGUAGAGGUAAAGGGAAUUCCUGGUGUAGCGGUGAAAUGCUUAGAGAUCAGGAGGAACAUCGGUGGCGUAAGCGCUUUACUGGGCCGUAAUUGACGCUGAGGAACGAAAGCCAGGGUAGCAAAUGGGAGUAGAUACCCCAGUAGUC